GAUGAACGCUCGCGGCAGGCCUAAUACAUGCGAGUCGGACGGGAUUCAGGAGCUUGCUUCUGAUGAGAGUGGCGCACGGGUGCGUAACACGUAUGUAACCUACCUUUAUCAGGGGGAUAGCCUCUCGAAAGAGAGAUUAAGCCCGCAUAAAAUCACAGCACAGCAUUGUGUAAUGAUCAAAUAUUUAUAGGAUAAAGAUGGGCAUGCGGAACAUUAGCUAGAUGGCGGGGUAACGGCCCACCAUGGCGACGAUGUUUAGGGGAUCUGAGAGGAUGGCCCCCCACACUGGUACUGAGACACGGACCAGACUCCUACGGGAGGCAGCAGUAAGGAAUAUUGGUCAAUGGGCGGAAGCCUGAACCAGCCAUGCCGCGUGCAGGAAGACGGCCCUACGGGUUGUAAACUGCUUUUAUACGGGAAUAAACCCAGAUACGUGUAUCUGGCUGAAUGUACUGUAAGAAUAAGGAUCGGCUAACUCCGUG
rnacentral:rRNA from 1 species